rnacentral:tRNA from 1 species
GGAUGUAUAGUUAAAUUACAUAAUAAUGAAUUUGUAAUUCAUAGUUGAUUGAAGAAAUCUUCAUCCA